rnacentral:rRNA from 1 species
GAGUGAAGAGGGAAGAGCUCAUCAUUGGAAUCUGACAGCGUUACGCUGUCCGAGUUGUAGAUGAGGAGUAGUCCAUCUGGACUGCAUGGCGUCCAAGUACAAUAGGCCGUCAGUGGGACAUCAUAGAGGGUGACAAUCCCGUCCUUGAUGCCAAUGUGCAAGUCCGUUACGAUGGCUAUCUCAGAGAGUCGAGCAGUUUGGGAUUUGCUGCUUAAACAUGGGAGGUAGAUUCCUUCUAAAGCUAAAUACAGGCGAGAGACCGAUAGAGAACAAGUACCGCAAGGGAAAGAUGAAAUAGAACUCUGUGAAGGGAGUCAAAAGGCGUGAAAUUGUUGCGAGAGAAGCGAUUCAAGUCAGCGUAGCUAGGCCCAUCAAGCCUCUUUGUGCUUUGGACUAGCUUUGCCAGCGGUCUUGUCCCUUAGAGACUUGACUUUUUUAUGAUGUCCAGCCUGGUAUGCACAGGUAGCCCUUCUUCUGGGGGGGGCCAGUGACAUGGCUGGUGGAAUGGCUUGCAAUCGACCCGUCUUGAAACACGGACCAAGGAGUCUAACAUGUAUGCGAGUAUAAGGGUGGCAAACCCGUAUGCGCAAUGAAAGUAACUUUCGAUGAUUGAGAAUGGCCUGAUGACCAAGACAAGCAAUAUAUUCAUGUCCCUCGUACGGCCAUUGCCCAAGUUCCGUGGUAGAUCCCAUGAACAUGGAGUUGGAGCAUACAUGCUAGGACCCGAAAGAUGGUGAACUAUGCCUGGACAAAGCGAAGCCAAAGGAAACUCUGGUGGAGGCUUGUAGCGAUUCUGACGUGCAAAUCGAUCGUCUGAUCUG